rnacentral:rRNA from 1 species
AUGGUUGAACUUAAUGAAGACAGCCUCACGAACCUGAAAUUUCUCCUAUUAUGCUUCGAAGCGCUUUCGGGUCUUAAAAUUAAUUUUUCAAAGAGCAAAGUUGUUGUGACUGGGGUGCCUGAUUCGGAAGCUCAGAGAGUGGCGCAUCUUCUCAACUGUUCUCUAGGGUCUUAUCCUCUCAAAUGCCCGGGCAUUCCAAUCUCCCCUCUCAAGCUUCUGGCAAAAGAUUUUGCCCCGACAGUGACUAAAGUAGGAAAUAGAGUUUUGCCGUGGAGAGGCCGUUAUAAUUCCCAGGCGGGCAAGGUUGCCCUCACUAAUGCGUGCCUCUCCUCCCUUCCGAUGUUUCUAAUGGGCUUCUAUCUCUUGUCCGGAGGGAUUCACGCUGGUUUUGACAAGCAUAGGGGUGCUUUUUAUUGGAACUCCUCUGAUAACAAGCGCAAAUAUAGGAUGGUUAAGUGGGAGCUGAUUUGCAGACCUAAGAGCUUGGGGGGCCUAGGCAUCAUUAACACUUUGGUCAUGAACAAGUGCCUCAUGAUAAAAUGGUGGUGGAAGAUUAUGUUCCUCGAGGAGCGCCCCCCACCUGGCUAUAUCUUCUCAAGGCUAAGUACUUCCCCUCCUCGAGCCCUAUGUUCGCCUCCUCCUCUGGUGGCUCUCAGUUUUGGCGUCAAUUCAUUAAAGUUUGACCGAUUUUUUGUUCCCUUGUUAACUUUGUAG